UAUAGUAGGAGAAAUACACGUAUAUCAGCUACUAUGUAGUAGGAGAAAUACACGUAUAUCAGCUACUAUAUAGUAGGAGAAAUACAUGUAUAUCAGCUACUAUAUAGUAGGAGAAAUACACGUAUAUCAGCUACUAUAUAGUAGGAGAAAUACACGUACAUCAUCUACUAUAUAGUAGGAGAAAUACACGUAUAUCAGCUACUAUAUAGACGGAGAAAUACACGUAUAUCAGCUACUAUGUAGUAGGAGAAAUACACGUAUAUCAGCUACUAUAUAGUAGGCAAGUACGCGGUUUGGGACGCAGUCCACAGAUUCAAGCAGUCGUCUAUUAGCACGUACAACAUGACAAAUAAUUAACUGCACUUGAAGCGUUCAUAAAAAUUAAAAAUAAAAACACCCAAAACUGUAUACGGUCCCAUAACGAAGACCAACUGUAUGUCGAUACGUGAAAUUCUGGAGGGAACGUCGGACAGCGUGGCGCGGGGACAUAAUGACGUGACGUUAAUCGAUCUAUGUUCUACAACAUGUAACACAGGAACAUGAAAGGAGUAUUCUAAAAGCGACUCAUGUAAACACCUUAAUCACAAUAUUGUCUUAUUCAGAAUAAGGUCAGUGAUUAGAUUACCGCUGUCCGUGUAAACGUAGUCACAGUUCCUAAGAGCCAAAUAUGUAUUAGGAUAUUUGUUCUGAUUAAUAAACAGUAGUGCACUCAACAGCAUUGAGGUGAAAUCUAUGAACCAUUUAAAUGUGUUCUGUUUGAACAAUUUUAUUAAAUGUGAUA
ensembl:lncRNA